UUACUCCUCCUUCAGUCCUCCUGCUUCUUGCCUAUAUCUGUGUGCAUGUGUGAAAGAAUUACUUCUUUUUUUUUUUUCUUACUAGUUGCUUGUGAAGCUUUUUCACACACCUAAUUUCUUUCUCGCAUCUUUAAGGCAGUUGCAUGUGUAUUUUUGUGUUGGUUUCAGUUGAUGUAGGUGACUGUUUUGAAAGCUAACUGCUAAACAGCUUACCAUGUAAAUAUAAACAUUUAUUUUUUCUUGCCUUCUGCUUCCUCUUUGUGUCAAAAUAUCCCCACUAUAUUAUGAUGUUGUGGCUCUGUGGAUGUUAAGAACAGCUAGUUAUUUCUAGCAUCAUGCCAGCCAUGUGAUUUCAGCCCUGAAGUGCCAGGUGAGCUGCAGCACAUCUUUUGUAAAGGCAUUCAUUCUUACUAAAAAGACAUCUGUUUAUCACAUGCACUGCUCUCAGGUCGUUAAUUUUAACCUAUUAUUCAUUUUACUCGUUUUUUUUUUUUUUUUAAUAAAUGCAUUUGUCCAAUUUCUAUUUCUAUUCACUCAUUACUUUUAUGGCUUUGCUUCCUAGAUGAAAGUCUACUGUUGUCAGGACUGUCACUGGUACUGGAAUGAGUUUUCUCUACCUUUUUUUGGGGUGGCUGUCUGCAGUUUUUCAUGCACAGUGCUACUUGGACCUUCAGUGCCCAAGUGAACAUUCGGAGUGCAGAACAGCCGAAUUGCUUCAAGAGCAAGAAGGUCGUCGGAGCAGGGCACUACAUCAAUUACUUCUGUAUCACGAUGAUGGAUACUGUGAAAACUGAGAGGCAAUGCAGGGAUUUUUUUGCGGUGCUAUUUGGAAACAUUUAAAAACUCCUCUCUGUGUACUUAUUGCUGGUCUGCUGUAUUCAAGCAAUGCUUUUAAACACCAGCAUCCAGCUACACAUGGGGACUGUGUGAACAUUAUUUUAUCCAUUGUGCU
rnacentral:lncRNA from 1 species